GAUGAAGAACGUAGCGAAAUGCGAUAAGUAAUGUGAAUUGCAGAAUUCAGUGAAUCAUCGAAUCUUUGAACGCACAUUGCGCCCGCUAGUAUUCUGGCGGGCAUGCCUGUCCGAGCGUCAUUUCAACCCUCAAGCCCCCUGGCUUGGUGUUGGGGAUCGGCGAGCCUCCGCGCCCGCCGUCCCCUAAAUCUAGUGGCGGUCUCGCUGUAGCUUCCUCUGCGUAGUAGCACACCUCGCACUGGGAAACAGCGCGGCCACGCCGUUAAACCCCCAACUUCUGAACGUUUGACCUCGGAUCAGGUAGGAAUACCCGCUGAACUUAAGCAUAUCAAUAAGCGGAGGA
rnacentral:misc_RNA from 1 species